rnacentral:rRNA from 1 species
UACGUAGGGUGCGAGCGUUAAUCGGAAUUACUGGGCGUAAAGCGUGCGCAGGCGGAUUGUUAAGCAAGAUGUGAAAUCCCCGGGCUUAACCUGGGAAUGGCAUUUUGAACUGGCAGUCUAGAGUGUGUCAGAGGGGGGUGGAAUUCCACGUGUAGCAGUGAAAUGCGUAGAUAUGUGGAGGAACACCAAUGGCGAAGGCAGCCCCCUGGGAUAACACUGACGCUCAUGUCCGUUAGCGUGUGUAGCUUACCGGAUUAGAUACCCGUGUAGUUC